rnacentral:rRNA from 1 species
CCUACGGGAGGCAGCAGUGAGGAAUAUUGGUCAAUGGUCGCGAGUCUGAACCAGCCAAGCCGCGUGCAGGAGGACGGCUCUGUGUGUUGUAAACCUCUUUUGUCCGAGAACAAACGCAGAUACGCGUAUCCGUCUGAGAGUACCUUACGAAUAAGCAUCGGCUAACUCCGUGCCAGCAGCCGCGGUAAUACGGAGGAUUCCAGCGUUAUCCGGAUUUAUUGGGUUUAAAGGGUGCGGAGGCGGUCGGAUAAGUCAGCGGUGAAAGGCCGUGGCUCAACCACAGCACGGCCGUUGAAACUGGCAGGCUCGAGUAGGAGAGAGGUAGGCGGAAUGCGCGGUGUAGCGGUGAAAUGCAUAGAUAUCACGCAGAACCCCGAUUGCGAAGGCAGCAUGCCAGGCCAAGACUGACGCUGAUGCACGAAAGCGUGGGGAUCAAACAGGAUUAGAUACCCCAGUAGUC